rnacentral:tRNA from 1 species
GUGUGGGUGCCGGAGCGGUCUAACGGGGCUGACUGUAAAUCAGCUGGAGGAAUCCCUCGGGGGUGCAAAUUCCUCUCCCAGCA